rnacentral:rRNA from 1 species
CACGUAGGGGGCGCGCGUUGUCCGGAUUUAUUGGGCGUAAAGAGCUCGUAGGCGGCUCUGUAAGUCAGGUGUGAAAACUCCAGGCUCAACCUGGAGACGCCACCUGAUACUGCUGUGGUUAGAGUCCGGUAGGGGAGCAUGGAAUUCCUGGUGUAGCGGUGAAAUGUGCAGAUAUCAGGAGGAACACCGGGUGCGUAGGCGGCGUUCUGGACUGCAACUGACACUGAGAAACGAAAGCCAGGGUAGCAAACGGG